GCCGCUUUCUCUCCUAUUCUCCCUGUAAACCCUAACCAAAAACUUCAUCACCGCUUUCAUUUUUGUGGCAAUCAGAGGUAACAUAGUUGGAUUCAAGCGAUGAUGGUUUGAUAUGCCGACCAUGAUUCAUCGCCGCUGAUGCUUUCUGAUUGUCCUCUGCUUUGAUUUCAAUCUUCCGUUUAAGGUGAUUGUCAAUUUCAAUUCAACAACCGAUUAAAGGUUUCCAAUGGAGUCUGCAAAUAUCAGAGAUGUAUUGACUUCCUGAAGGGUUUAUUUCAGAUUUCUAUUUCUGGUCUGGUUACUGUGGAUGACAUUUGGUGAAUUACAAAGGAAAGUCUCUAAUUUGUAUACUUAACUGAUUGAAUUGUACAGAGGAAAGCGAGUUUUGUUGUGGUGAGAUCAGAUCUGAUCUGGUGGUGUGAAGAUGGACUAUUAUAAUUUUUGUCUCUGGAUUUUUCUUUGAGAGAUUUGACGUUGCCAUUUGGUCUUCAAGAACCAGGAAAAUUUUGGACCCUGUGGUUGAUUAUUUGUUAGGGGAUUUGAAGAAGAAGUUGGUGUUUAUUUGGGACAUAUCUCACUGCACCAAUUCAAGUGCCCGAAGCCUUGAAAACUAUCACAAGUUCAUAGUCUUCAAGAAACUGGGAAGAUAUGGGAAGGAAAUGGUCGUAUCGCCU